CUAGUGCUACAUUUGCAGUAGAUGGGGCCUCGUCUUAAUAUAAUGGUCAUCUUUGUUUUAUCCAAAGGUUAAUCCAAGUCAUCCUCAGGCUGCAGCGACACAGUGCCUAUGCCUUGAGAUUAUCAACAGUGUCACCCCUUCAGUGCACGUGACUCACUACGCGAAGAUUUGCAACGUAGCCCCCUGGCUCCAUCACGCAGCUUGAUGCGUGAGACUGAACUCAACAAAGGUAGCUAGAGCAACUGAGUAGCAUG